rnacentral:rRNA from 1 species
GAUGAACGCUGGCGGCGUGCCUAAUACAUGCAAGUCGAGCGAACAGACGAGGAGCUUGCUCCUCUGACGUUAGCGGCGGACGGGUGAGUAACACGUGGAUAACCUACCUAUAAGACUGGGAUAACUUAGGGAAACCGGAGCUAAUACCGGAUAAUAUAUUGAACCGCAUGGUUCAAUAGUGAAAGACGGCUUUGCUGUCACUUCUAGAUGGAUCCGCGCCGCAUUAGCUAGUUGGUAAGGUCACGGCUUACCAAGGCAACGAGGCGUAGCCGACGUGAGAGGGUGAUCGGCCACACGGGAACUGAGACACGGUCCAGACUCCUACGGGAGGCAGCAGUAGGGAAUCUUCCGCAAUGGGCGAAAGCCUGACGGAGCAACGCCGCGUGAGUGAUGAAGGUCUUCGGAUCGUAAAACUCUGUUAUUAGGGAAGAACAAAUGUGUAAGUAACUAUGCACGUCUUGACGGUACCUAAUCAGAAAGCCACGGCUAACUACGUG